AUGGCCGGUGCCUGUCUGAAUGCAACCAGAGGAGUCAGGAAUCAGGCAAUGUUACUCAUUGGAAACCAGCACUGUUCAGCAACCGGCCAAAGGUGUGGGGAAGAUGACGCCUCUCUGUCCACAGACUUCGGAGGCCUUCUCUGUCUGCAACAUCCAAAAUCAGAUGAAAAGUGUGACGGCAUACAACUUCGGUGGGCUCGAAAAGAGCUAGCCAUGGACAAGAAGCUAUCUUGCUAUGUUGGUGUUAAUGACAAAACAAAGAUUGUUGUGAGGCUAAACCUUCACAUGAGCCUUUACUGUGGUCCUGUCCAUUGUUGA
rnacentral:rRNA from 1 species